rnacentral:rRNA from 1 species
UGCCCAGCUUGCUGGGCGGAUUAGUGGCGAACGGGUGAGUAAUACGUGAGUAACCUGCCCUUGACUCUGGGAUAAGCCUGGGAAACUGGGUCUAAUACUGGAUACUACGCUCCAUCGCAUGGUGGGGGGUGGAAAGGGUUUUACUGGUUUUGGAUGGGCUCACGGCCUAUCAGCUUGUUGGUGGGGUAAUGGCUCACCAAGGCGACGACGGGUAGCCGGCCUGAGAGGGUGACCGGCCACACUGGGACUGAGACACGGCCCAGACUCCUACGGGAGGCAGCAGUGGGGAAUAUUGCACAAUGGGCGGAAGCCUGAUGCAGCGACGCCGCGUGAGGGAUGACGGCCUUCGGGUUGUAAACCUCUUUCAGUAGGGAAGAAGCGCAAGUGACGGUACCUGCAGAAGAAGCGCCGGCUAACUACGUGCCAGCAGCCGCGGUAAUACGUAGGGCGCAAGCGUUGUCCGGAAUUAUUGGGCGUAAAGAGCUCGUAGGCGGUUUGUCGCGUCUGCUGUGAAAGCCCGGGGCUCAACCCCGGGUCUGCAGUGGGUACGGGCAGACUAGAGUGCAGUAGGGGAGACUGGAAUUCCUGGUGGUAGCGGUGAAAUGCGCAGAUAUCAGGAGGAACACCGAUGGCGAAGG